CCUGUAGUACUAGUACUUAACA
rnacentral:miRNA from 15 species